UCUCAUGCUGUGACCCUCUGAAGGGCAGCACUUUCUGUUGUCUGGAAAAAAAGGAAGCGCUGCCCUUUAGAGUGUCACCGUUUGAGA
rfam:Callithrix jacchus chromosome 22, whole genome shotgun sequence